rnacentral:tRNA from 1 species
GGCUUCGUGAUGUAGUGGUCUGCAUGCUCGAUGCAGAAUCGAGAGGUCCGUGGUUCGAUUCCUUGCGAAGGCU